rnacentral:rRNA from 1 species
UACAGAGGGGGCAAGCGUUAUUCGGAAUUAUUGGGCGUAAAGGGCGCGUAGGCGGCCUGGCAAGUGACGGGUGAAAGCCCUCGGCUCAACCGAGGAACUGCCUGUCAUACUGCCGGGCUUGAGUCCGGGAGAGGUGAGUGGAAUUCCCAGUGUAGCGGUGAAAUGCGUAGAUAUUGGGAGGAACACCGGUGGCGAAGGCGGUUCUCUGGGCCUUACCUGACGCUGAGGAGCGAAAGCGUGGGGAGCGAACAGG